rnacentral:rRNA from 1 species
GACGAACGCUGGCGGCGUGCGUAACACAUGCAAGUCGAACGCUGAAGCUUGGUGCUUGCACUGGGUGGAUGAGUGGCGAACGGGUGAGUAAUACGUGAGUAACCUGCCCUUGACUCUGGGAUAAGCCUGGGAAACUGGGUCUAAUACUGGAUACGACAUGUCACCGCAUGGUGGUGUGUGGAAAGGGUUUUACUGGUUUUGGAUGGGCUCACGGCCUAUCAGCUUGUUGGUGGGGUAAUGGCUCACCAAGGCGACGACGGGUAGCCGGCCUGAGAGGGUGACCGGCCACACUGGGACUGAGACACGGCCCAGACUCCUACGGGAGGCAGCAGUGGGGAAUAUUGCACAAUGGGCGGAAGCCUGAUGCAGCGACGCCGCGUGAGGGAUGACGGCCUUCGGGUUGUAAACCUCUUUCAGCACGGAAGAAGCGAAAGUGACGGUACGUGCAGAAGAAGCGCCGGCUAACUACGUG